UAGACACCUGACAGAACUCCUGGCCUUGAUGUCUCAGCUGGAACAGCCAGAACAGUACCAUCUACUACGGCUUUUGCAUGUAGCAGCAAAGAAAAAACAACUCGAGCUUGCAAAUAGGAAGGACUCAAUCAGUAUUUGUGAAUGAGUGAAUUAAUGGAUAAAUAUAAAGAGAAGGGAGUGAACAGAUCUGUGGGAUUCUUGGGCAUUGGAAUCAACAGGACAUGAUGAUUGCUUGGAUAACAGCUGCUGGUAGUUCAGAAGUGUAUUCCUUUCCUAAUUGGGCAUUUGAAGGAUUCAACCCAUAAUGACAUCAUCCUAAACAUCCUCAUAGAGAUAGCAGUCUAUGAGCCAGUGGCUUUGAACAGUUUUCUUCCAAUGCUGAAAGAGAUUGGUGAGAGAUUCCCCUACCUCACUGGACAGAUGGCAAGGAUUUAUGGAGCUGUUGGGCAUGUGGAUGAACAAACUCCAUGGUUUGAUCUUUAAGAAGAGCAGAGUCUCCUGUGGGUUUGCAAUCUUCAGUCCAGAAUUUGGCCAUGGGGGUAGAGACGGCCUGGAAUCACACAAGUUAUUGAUUGGCUUAUGCCUCACCUUCUGUGCUUGCAUAAAGCCAGGUGUAAGAACUGCAGGGCUGGCUACUGGGAAAUGACAGGGUGUGCCUGUCUUUCAAAUGAGUGCCCAUCUGGGUGAGCAGACUGUUUU
rnacentral:lncRNA from 10 species